CCCUGUGUCAAAUUCAAUAUGUAUUCGAUUUAACGCACAUCAAGCCUGACAUCCCAAAAUCAAACCAAGGAGAAUAUAUUCAGGUCUGUAGUGUGCUGAAAUCUCAGUUACCAGUGUUAAAGAUUUCAACUGCUUAGCCCCAAAUGGUCACACAUCUCUAAAGCUCCCAUGGUGAUCAGGGUAUGAAGGGACUUAUUGCUGUUGCAAGGGGUGUUUCAAAAUCCAUUCCUCUAAAAACAUAACCCCUCUUCAUCCUCCAUUUUCAGGCACUAUUUCUGCUGACACAGAACAGAUUCCUCAAGUGUAAGUCCAUCAUACAAGCAUUUAUAUAUUAACCUUUAUAGAUUAACCUCAUAAACCACUGGGACCUGAUCUGUUUUGGAGCUCUUGCCCCAAAUGCUAUUGACAGCGCUGUGGGUUGGAGAUGAAACUUCUGAUACAACAGGAUUCAUGUUCCUCAUCCUCCUGUAGAGGCUUGGCAGGGAUUUAUGGGACUUUAACUGUGCCCUCUCAGCAAAAGAAAAGAGGUACUUCCUGGAGGCCGCUCACACUGUUCAUGUGGCUACUUCUCUUUUGUAGAAAAAGCAGUGGACUGAAUGGAAGACAAGUUUUCUGGCCACCUUGUCUUGUGCAUGGAUUUCAAAAUACAUGUCAUAACUUUAAGAAUAACAUCUGAGUAUUCCAAAAAGUGGUAUGCAAAAUGUACAGAAAUAUGUAAAGAUACUGAACUUGGCAUGAGAUUUUGCUUAAAUACUUCAGCUGAAAAUAGACUUUGCAAUGUAACAGAUGUGCUAUAUAUGCUUUUUCAGCUAAAAAGGGAAGAUACUGGCUAUGCUAGUGGCUUUGCUUUCAUGAGGAAAUCCAGGAUUUCAAUCUCUCAGUUGCAUAGAUAAGUGGAAAAUUUUAAGUAAGACAAAUAAAAUUAAACUAUUUCAUUCCAGUCUGCAUACCACUUUAAAGUACAGUAGCUUCAAAAAAUGAGUUCAUAAAAAAACAUUGGCUGUCUUUCAUGAAGUUCAAACAUAUCAUUAUUAGAGAGUUAUAAACCUGCAGACAGUGGAGAUUCCUUUUAUGAAACAGCCAUCUAAAAUGGUUAUGGACUGAUCAAUACAUUUCUUAUGAAUAAUCUCUUCUAGAUCUUGGGCAAAUGUGACUUAGCAGUUGUGACAGAAAUGGAGCCAAGUGGUGCUUUAUAGAUUUGAACCAUCUGGUAGCUGGUUCAAUGAGGUGAAGUCUGUAAUUGACCUGUUGAAUAGUGAGAGAAAUAAUAGAAAAAACAAAUAAAAAGUAAUGAUAUAGUGUAGGCUGGAUUUUUAGCUGACUUUUUUAUUGCUUGUAUUUCUAGUAUAAAAACAUGUGGUGGUAGCUUUUCUUAUGAAAAAGCUGAAAUGAAGCUACAAAAAGCUUAUUGUCAUCCAUUUUUGUGGAAAAAAAAAAAAUGGAUUGUGUAUAUUAGAUUUUUUCAAUCUUUGAUGUUAAAAAUGUUGCUUCCCAAAUGCCUAUAAGGUGACUGAAGAAAAUGCAUUUUCUGAAAAAAAAUAGGGAUUCUGUGCCUCAUCUGGUACAGAUAAUCCGUACAAGAUAAUGCUGAGCACCUGCAUCCCUCAUUGAAGUCAGAAGGAGCUAAAGAUGAAAAUUUUUUUAUGUUAAUUAAUGACAUACACACCAUUGUCAGAGAGAUCCUUGAAUGUAGAGACCUUGAAUUAAUAACCUACUAUUAUAGAUAAACUAUUUUUAUUUAUUAUAAAAUAAUAAACGAUUAUUAUUUCAAGAUUCUCUUUUAAUAGGAGCUGCUGUCCUAACUGAGCUCCUCUCUGUUGUCACACUUAUGGAGGGAGUAUUAAAUACGCAAGACAGAAAUUCAAAAGAACAAGAUAUUCAGUGAAGGAAAUGAAGUAGAUAGAACAAUAUACAAAGAGAAGGAUCAUGCAACUUCGGUGUUUUGGCAAAGAUGAGAGAGAGAGAGAGAAACAUCUAAAAAUCCCACAUCAAAACAGUCAAUAAAAUAGAUCUCUUGUUCUGCCUGUUCUGGUUUGAAACUGUGUUAUUACCGAUCUGCUGCUAUUUCUACAGCCUUCACUGAUAAAUCACCAAAGCAUCACGUAUUUUUGUGAAAGUCUCUCAACUUUCUCUAUUUGCAGUUUUUUAGAGCUGCACAAGUAAUUAAUGUUUAGGCCAAAAGGGGUGAAUCUGUUCCUCAGAGCUUUGAACACAGGAUGUUGGAAUCUGAGUCUCAAAUCCUUCUUGCAAUGCUCCUGAAAUUAUUUCUGCAGGUUGGAACUGUUCUAGAAAAAAAAUCCACCUGAGAAUAGCCAACAAUAUGAGCUGAAGAAAACCUGCAUUUAGUUAUCACCUCCAAGUCAUGGAUAUUUGCAGACAUCAGUCUGCUGUCAGCAGCCAACACUCAACAGAUAUUUUCAUAUAAAUAUCUUGCAUUUCACUUGGGUAGAUUAACUAGAGUAUUCUUGAAGGCAUAUAACCAUCUCUGCUGAUUUGGAAAAGGAUUCAUUAAUUCUUUCAACAGUUGCUGCCUGUAUCAUCAUUUGGGUGUGUUUUAUUCCAGAAGUCCGUCCUACUGAUUCCUUCAAUCCCCAUACUAAUAGACACUGUUCAUGCCAGGAAUGAUCUGAUGUCACAUCCUUGAUCCAGUUGUUCUCAGAUGGAAUUUUGCUGGCAUAACGCUUCAACAUUGCUACUACAGACAUACAGGAUCAGUUGUCUAUUGUAUCUUUCAGAAAAAAAUCAAGAGGAAAUGGUAGUUAUAAUAAAAAUUAAUAAUUUUAUAAUAAAAUAUUGAAAUACAGGAAAAUGUAUUUUACCAUACAGUUUAUAUAUGUGUACAAGUACAGUCUUGUUACUAAAAAAAGAAAUUAAUUUUGCUCUUUAAAUGAGUCAGAGAAACAUAAUAGUUUUUAAUUUUUAAGCCAAAUAUAUUUUCUGUCUAACUGCUUAAAAUUUCCAUUAAAGGGUCAAGAAGACUUAAAAAAUUCAAGAUGAGGAAGUCUAAGCAUUUUCCUGUAUAUAUUUAAAUAUGUAUAUAAUUUUGAAAUAAAUAGCAUUUUAUUAUAUACUAUUAGGUACACUGUUUAAGUCAGUAAAGGUGAUAAUAAUAAUAUUUUUUUGUUUAUCAUUAUGCAUGUAGAGUUUUAUAGGUAUGAAUAAGGACUGAAUUUUGAAUUGUUCCACGUAAGACAUAAAAAUGAAAGAAAAGAGAAAGUAAAAGAAAAAUCCUUCCUCUUUCUGGGCAAACAUUACCUUGAUUUAUGAUCCAGUCAUAUGGAAUAAGGAACAUUUUUUAAUCUUUUUCUGCCUUGCAAAAAGGAUAUUAGGGACUGUAAAAGCUGUUUCUGUAUGGCUGAUCCAGUGUCCAGUUGAACAUAUCUAGCAUAUUAAAAAAAUAAUUUACCAAUGGUGUUGCGAUUAUAUUUCAUAUGCUUUAGAAGAAGUUAGCUCACAGGAAAAGGGCCUACCUUUCUUUCAAUGAAAGUCCUUGGUUCUUUCUUAUGAUUUCUCUUGUCAUUCUGAGGAAAAGAACUGUUUGCAUUAAUGAUGACUUAUUUUCAGAGGCUAUUUUAUAAGGUAGUUAGCCUAAGGUAGGAAACUGUGAAUUAUCAUUAUUAAAGGGAACUCAGAAAGAAAAAAACCCAUGUUUACAAUAAAUCACACAAUUAUAACACAGCAAAGAAAAUCUUUGAGUUUUAAGAUUUAUAGAGCAGGAGACCACUUUUAACACAAAAAUUUUUGACAUCAAAUGUUAAUGUGCUGUUCUCCUCAACAUGCAUAUGACCUAUAGUGUAAAAGUUUUUCUUACAUCCGUAAAGCAGAAAUACACAGAGAUUGUAUAUCAUGUUCAAUAAAAUAUUGACUCAUGUUUACUCCCUUUCUUUCAA